CUGCUGGCUGUAGUUUAGCCUGAGGGGAGGCAAUCUUCCUCUAGCCCGCCCGCCCGGCAGCCUUGGCUUAGCAGGAAGAUGGUGUGACCCUUCCUUGAGGUGGCAGGGCAAGAGGAGGGGUCUCAGAGGAGGUUCUGGGGCAGACGGGGCAGGGCUGAGACAGAGGGAGGUGCGCCAAGCAGAUGCUUGUAGGUAAACAGCAAUUUCUCUGCUGGAGCUGGAGCUCUUGGGGCACGCCCAAGCUUCCAGAAUCAUUGUUAUUUUCUCUCUGAAAUGUUGUCUGUAAAUCAGGGGUGUUGGGCAUCAUGCCAAGGACCAGAUCUGGGUGAAAAUCUGCCUGAGCCACUUCCUUGGCUUUGGGACUUUGAACAAGAUGUUCAGCCUUUCCUUUCCCGGUGCCUUCGUCCUGAGCAGGGCAGAGGGGAGAGGCUGAGUGGUGCAGGGAAACCCCCUCACCUGCCCAGCCUGCCCGAAUGUCCCCAUCUGGCUCUUCGGGCAGCUGCCUGAUGCUCACUCUCUACCCACCAUCUGCGGAGAACAAGGUGGGUCUAUGAAGACACCUCCCUCCUCUACCUCUGCCUUUCUUCCAUUCGAUGCAGUAGGAAAUGGGAUUCUAAACUCCUCACCUCACACAGACCAUCGGAAGUCAUAACAAGCCUCAAAAUAAUCAUGAUGGUGAUGAUGAUAACGGCACCACUUACAUCUGUGUUGGACUUUAUGGCUAUAAAAUGCUUUUUACAACCUC